AAUCCUGACCAUUUAAACUCAUUUUUUAACUGCUAACACAGCAGUUCACGGCAGUUUUUUAGCCUCCGCCUUUUCCUGCCAUGUUUUCCACAAAUCACGUUACCUACAAACUACAAAAAAUGGAUCGUGGGUUCAAUGCAGUUGUUGAACAACCUUAUAUAAUGUAAACCCUUGAAUCAAAAAGGUCGUACCUUCAAUCGUUUGAUUUGUGGGUUAAUAUUGAUUUGAAGUCUUGAAGGUAAUGCGUCUAUAAUCCUGUUUAUUGCUCACUUGAUUGAUUCCCUCAAACAAACUUCUGAAAUCUGAUUAGUUUCUUCUAAUUGAAUCCUUCAAUAAUAUUUUCUUAUCUUCUGAAAUCCAUUGUGUUAAUUACUUGAUGGAAGUGUUGAAGGUAAUUUUCUGUCAUAAAUAGUUUCUGCCCUAAAUCGAUUUGCCCUAAUUAUGCCCUGCCCAAAAUCCUUCAAUAAUAUCUUCUGAAAUCCAUUGAUAGAUGUCAGGUAUGUUGAAAGUUUAAAUUUAUAACUGUUUUUUUUUUCAGUGCUAAUUUUGUUGUUCAAUGUCUGUGACUGUAGUUGGUUUUUCGGUUAGGAUGAUGAAGAAGAAUCCUUAGGCACGAAAAGAACGUGUGACCACAUUGGGAGGUGUUUUGUAAGAUACCAUUUGAUGGCCCUUUCACAAGCUUCCCAAUCGAUACCCUUUGAUGGCCCUUUCACAAGCUUCCCAAUCGAAAGCAAACUGAAAGGGCUAAAGCUACAAGGACUCAUCUCCUAGGAUUUUGGAUGCUACAUUACUGUAAUGAUGAGCAAGCUUUGUCAUGGUAGCCAAUUUUGGUUCUUUAUGUGAGCACUUGGUUGAAGUAAUUAAAGCCCCUACUUUAUUUGCUUACUCAUUGUCAUGAGUUUACUCAUUACUGCAUUAGCUCUAGAGAAUUUUGGUCACCUUCUGAUAUAGCAAAUUAUAAUGUCAGUACACACAUUGACUCCUCAAAUUGGAAGCUAACAAUACUUUACAAGGUUGAGGCAGUGGCUUGUGAUUAGAGUUUUGGAAUACAUCUCUAUCUAUUAACAAGAGGAGUGGAAUGAAUAGUGUUUGUAUACUGUGGUCAUCUCUGAUUGGUUCAUAUGGACGGUUGUAACACACAUCCUCUCUGAAGGCCUUCUGUUUAUCUUUUUUCUAGUGGGUUCUAAGAUAGGUUCAUUCAGAUACGGAGAGAGAGAGAGAGAGAGAGAGAGAUGCAGAGAGGAGAUGACGAUGUCUCCGUUCAUGGCUUUCUUGGAUCAAAUUCGAGAUGGGGUUCGCCGUUUCCGGCGUCCGUUCCAGCCGGCGACAAUGGCUCUCCGGAUGGCAUGAUGAUACCGACGCUGCCCACUGAAUGACGGUUUACUAGAUGUAGAACUCGUCGGAAAACCAUCGGUGGUAGAGAAAGUAGAGACAGUGUUGAUGUAGACGACGAGAAUCACAAGUUGCAGUCACCUACCGUCUUGCCGAAUGCCAGUUCACCUCCAUUGCUACAACCACAACCUCCUUUCCCACGUUAACAUCAGUAUAGUAUACAUUGGAGCUACUAUACACUAUACAGACGAUGGUGAUCAUUUUAUCAGGUCCUUGAGGGAUGAGGUUUCAGACAUUAGAAGAACUCCCCUCUAGGCUUUAAAGAGGCGUUGAUGCGAGGUAGGAUCAAACGCCCAACUGUUCAUUCUUCUUCUCAGUCCGCAAUUUCAGGUGGUUCGGAAGAUUACAUGUGGUUUGGCGGCAGUUACAGGAGGUUCGGCGAUCGGCGCUGAUUGUUCAGUUCUCAGUCGGAGAUUACAGGUGGUUUGGGUAGCAAUUACAGGGGUGCAAAAUGAUGGAAAAUGACUUGAGAAGAGCAUGACAGACUAGCUGCUCAAAGUCAAUUUAUUAUUCACACCGUAGGCAGGCACACGAGUUCUCUAACUCCACUUUCUUGCAAAAGCGCCAUGAUGAAACAGAUGAAGAAUUUAGAAAGCACAACAUAUAUUUUUUUGUAUAAAUGUGAAAUAGUUAAGAUGGCCACAUACAUAAAGAAAGUGCCGUGAGUUAUAGUUUGGUUCUCUAUAUCGGGCUCACGGGAUGUUCAUACACAACAGGAUUGCAAACAGUAGUUAUUAAGCAUUGUAUAUCUCGUGUUGUGACGGAUUUAUUUACGAGACUGACAUGAUACGCAGAUGAAACAGAUGAAGAAUUUAGAAAGCACAAUUGAGAGAGUGAAGAGGUCGCUAGAAGCAAGGAUGAAAAAGGAAGGCGGACACGCGUGAGAGCAAUGGGUUUAGAGGGUUGUAAGCGAUAACAUUUUGCUUUCUAUAUUUGAUCAAGUUAACUGUUGAUUGCAACCUUCAUAAAACAAAUAGUUCAUAAACAUUUAUAUCUUUUUCUCUCUCCUUUUGUGUACACAUUGCCAGUACAUUUAAAAACCAAACCCCACCUUGGUUAUAUGUCUUAA